rnacentral:lncRNA from 1 species
UCUUGCCUUCCUAAAGUUAUAGCAAAGCAGAUACAUUGAAGUAGAGUAACCAACGGACUAAAAAAAUGAGCUACUUGAAAAAGAGAAGCACCAGAGAAGUCGAGAUUCAGCUAGACCGGACAGAAGUGGUCCUCUUUUAAGGUAUUUGCUCCCUUCCCGUUACAUAGGAAUGAGCAAAAAUGGGCAGCUAUAGUGACCCAAAUUCGUUCGGCCACAACAAAACAAAAACAAAAAAAAUCAAAAAAUAAUAUUAAUAUCAAAGUCCAUUUACAAAAAACAAAUAGAUUGGCCCAAUAACCCAACAGCCCAAAAGCCUAAAACCUAAACAUUUUCAGAAACCCUAGCCCCCUCUUGCGCCGUAGCCUCGCCUUAUCGGCAAGCGUGCUGUCUGACACCUCCUCUG